AUACUUACCUGAUUUUGAUUAUUGGUGAUCAACAAGGCCAAUAAUACAAUAAGGUUUCAGAUCCUUGCACAUGAUUUGAUCUUAUUGUCACUGCCGGAAAUGGAGUGAAAAAUCUAAUUUAUGGUAGAGUGGAAUUUGUGCAAGUCGCAGUUCCACA
rnacentral:snRNA from 1 species